UGGGGAAUAUUGGACAAUGGGGGGAACCCUGAUCCAGCCAUGCCGCGUGUGUGAAGAAGGCCUUAUGGGUGUAAAGCACUUUAAGCGAGGAGGAGGGUACUGGUAUUAAUACUACCAGCUACAGGACGUUACUCGCAGAAUAAGCACCGGCUAACUCUGUGCCAGCAGCCGCGGUAAUACAGAGGGUGCGAGAGUUAAUCGGAUUUACUGGGCGUAAAGCGAGCGUAGGCGGCUAAUUGAGUCGGAUGUGAAAUCCCCGAGCUUAACUUGGGAAUUGCAUUCGAUACUGGUUAGCUAGAGUGUGGGAGAGGAUGGUAGAAUUCCAGGUGUAGCGGUGAACUGCGUAGAGAUCUGGAGGAAUACCGAUGGCGAAGGCAGCCAUCUGGCCUAACACUGACGCUGAGGUACGAAAGCAUGGGGAGCAAACAGG
rnacentral:rRNA from 1 species